rnacentral:rRNA from 1 species
GGUGAACGCUGGCGGCAUGCUUAAGACAUGCAAGUCGAACGGCAGUCUUCGGACUGUAGUGGCGCACGGGUGAGUAACGCGUAACUGACCUACCCCAAAGUCGCGGAUAACGAUUCGAAAGAAUCGUUAAUACGUGAUGUGCUGUCAGAUUGUGUUCUGCAAGUAAAGAUUGAUUGCUUUGGGAUGGGGUUGCGUUCCAUCAGCUAGUUGGUGGGGUAAAGGCCCACCAAGGCGACGACGGAUAGCCGGCCUGAGAGGGUGGCCGGCCACAGGGGCACUGAGACACGGGUCCCACUCCUACGGGAGGCAGCAGUUAGGAAUCUUCCACAAUGGGCGAAAGCCUGAUGGAGCGACGCCGCGUGAGGGAUGAAGGUCUUCGGAUCGUAAACCUCUGAAUCAGGGACGAAAGACACUUCGGUGGGAUGACGGUACCUGAGUAAUAGCACCGGCUAACUCCGUGCCAGCCGCCGCCGUAAAAC